rnacentral:pre_miRNA from 1 species
CAAGUACUCCCUCUGUUCGGAAUUACUUGUCAUCAAAAUGGAUGUGUCUAGAACUAAAAUACAUCUAGAUACAUCCAUUUCAAUGACAAGUAUUUUCGGAUGGAGGGAGUACAUG